UACGUAGGGGGCAAGCGUUGUCCGGAUUUAUUGGGCGUAAAGAGCGUGUAGGCGGUUCGGUAGGUCCGUUGUGAAAACUCGAGCUCAACCUCGAGACGCCGAUGGAAACCCCCGAACUAGAGUCCGGAAGAGGAGAGUGGAAUUCCCGGUGUAGCGGUGAAAUGCGCAGAUAUCAGGAAGAACACCCGUGGCCAAGGCGGCUCUCUAGUACGGUACUGACGCUGAGACGCGAAAGCGUGGGGAGCGAACAGG
rnacentral:rRNA from 1 species